rnacentral:rRNA from 1 species
GAUGAACGCUGGCGGCGCGCCUAAUACAUGCAAGUCGAGCGAACGGACGAGAAGCUUGCUUCUCUGAUGUUAGCGGCGGACGGGUGAGUAACACGUGGAUAACCUACCUAUAAGACUGGGAUAACUUCGGGAAACCGUAGCUAAUACCGGAUAAUAUUUUGAACCGCAUGGUUCAAAAGUGAAAGACGGUCUUGCUGUCACUUAUAGAUGGAUCCGCGCUGCAUUAGCUAGUUGGUAAGGUAACGGCUUACCAAGGCAACGAUGCAUAGCCGACCUGAGAGGGUGAUCGGCCACACUGGCACUGAGACACGGUCCAGACUCCUACGGGAGGCAGCAGUAGGGAAUCUUCCGCAAUGGGCGAAAGCCUGACGGAGCAACGCCGCGUGAGUGAUGAAGGUCUUCGGAUCGUAAAACUCUGUUAUUAGGGAAGAACAUAUGUGUAAGUAACUGUGCACAUCUUGACGGUACCUAAUCAGAAAGCCACGGCUAACUACG